rnacentral:rRNA from 1 species
UACAGAGGGGGCAAGCGUUGUUCGGAAUUACUGGGCGUAAAGGGCGCGUAGGCGGCCUUCUAAGUCGAACGUGAAAUCCCCGGGCUCAACCCGGGAACUGCGUCCGAUACUGGAAGGCUUGAAUCCGGGAGAGGGAUGUGGAAUUCCAGGUGUAGCGGUGAAAUGCUUAGAUAUGACAUAGAACACCCAUUGCGAAGGCAGCUAACUACGCGAUAAUUGACGCUGAUGCACGAAAGCGUGGGGAUCAAACAGG